GAUGAACGCUGGCGGCGUGCCUAAUACAUGCAAGUCGAGCGAACAGACGAGGAGCUUGCUCCACUGACGUUAGCGGCGGACGGGUGAGUAACACGUGGAUAACCUACCUAUAAGACUGGGAUAACUUCGGGAAACCGGAGCUAAUACCGGAUAAUAUAUUGAACCGCAUGGUUCAAUAGUGAAAGACGGUUUUGCUGUCACUUAUAGAUGGAUCCGCGCCGCAUUAGCUAGUUGGUAAGGUAACGGCUUACCAAGGCAACGAUGCGUAGCCGACCUAAGAGGGUGAUCGGCCACACUGGAACUGAGACACGGUCCAGACUCCUACGGGAGGCAGCAGUAGGGAAUCUUCCGCAAUGGGCGAAAGCUUGACGGAGCAACGCCGCGUGAGUGAUGAAGGUCUUCGGAUCGUAAAACUCUGUUAUUAGGGAAGAACAAAUGUGUAAGUAACUAUGCACGUCUUGACGGUACCUAAUCAGAAAGCCACGGCUAACUACGUG
rnacentral:rRNA from 1 species